GCAAAGGCAGGGCCCAUGGGCCAUUAGGACACAUAGUUCUCAGGUGUUUUCAUUUCAUGGCCUGACUUCUUUGAAUUCAGAUUAAAUCCCACUUGACAUGACCCUCUGGGACUCCUCGUGGAAAGUGGAGUCAUGUGAUAUCAGGGAGGCUGCUAAAGCAGUGCCGAGCUUGGGAAUCCCAAGCCAGGAUUUAGAACUUUAAGGGAAGUCACUCAAGGGGGCAUCACAAUGCUGAACUGGGAACCUUUCAACAAUGCUUAAGGGAUAAGUGAUAAGACAGGGGCCUCCAGAAUGAGUGACUAGCCUCCCUUUACAGUCUCACCUGCUCAGCUCUGUGACUCCAAACUGCAGUGUUUUCUCUCUUCAGUGUUGAUGGCAUGGCUAGUGCUCAGUCAUCUGGUCACCACAACUCUACUGAGCCCCUCCCCUGGGUGCUGGACUGGCUCUAACACUGUGCGAACAGACAGAGGAAGGCUCAUGCUUGUGGAGCCAACGUUCUAAGUUGGGGAAGAGUCAAUGUAUGAAUUUUAAAAACAGUAAAACAAGAUCAUUUCAGAGAACGGAAGACAACAGCAAGCACGGGCCACCUGUGACCACGUGGACCCUAGGACCCAAGAGCAUGGCCCUGGAGCUGCCUGGCCCUACUGGCCUAGACUGGGCCUCGGCCACGCG
rnacentral:lncRNA from 1 species